rnacentral:lncRNA from 1 species
GUGGGGUGUACGUGGUUGCUCCCACGAGAAGCCUCGCAAACUCCUCAUGUGGCCAAGUUUUGGAUCGGGCCUCCCAUUCUUCCUCUCUUAAAUAAAUUUGAUCUUCAAAAUUUACAUAUUCAUACUCGAAAAACAUCUUUAAUUUAUCAUUGCUAAAUCUACGUUGCUGAUCACAAGCUCUAUCGACAAAUUCUAUCAAUAUUAUUCACAUGUUGGUCUAUGACUAAA